GUCGUAACAAGGUUUCCGUAGGUGAACCUGCGGAANGAUCAUUAGUGAAUAAAUAGGGUGUCCAAUUUAACUUGGAACCCGACCUUCUCACAUCUAACCCUGUGCAUCUGUAUUUAAUGGCGAGCAAUUUUCGGAUUGUGUGCCAUUUCACUUUAUAAACACUAGUCUAUGAAUGUAAAAUUUUUAUAACAAAUAAAAACUUUCAACAACGGAUCUCUUGGCUCUCGCAUCGAUGAAGAACGCAGCGAGAUGCGAUACGUAAUGUGAAUUGCAGAAUUCAGUGAAUCAUCGAAUCUUUGAACGCAUCUUGCGCUCUCUGGUAUUCCGGAGAGCAUGUCUGUUUGAGUGUCAUGAAUUCUUCAACCCAACUGUUUCUUGUAAACAGCUGGUGUUUGGAUUCUGAGCGCUGCUGGCUUCGUGCCUAGCUCGUUCGUAAUACAUCAGCAUCCCUAAUACAAGUUUGGAUUGACUUGGCGUAAUAGACUAUUCGCUAAGGAUUCAAUGUUCGCAUUGAGCCAACUUAAUUAAGGAAGCUUCUAAUUGAAAAGUCUACCUUUAGAUUAGAUCUCAAAUCAGGCAGGAUUACCCGCUGAACUUAAGCAUAUCA
rnacentral:rRNA from 1 species